rnacentral:lncRNA from 1 species
AAUUCCUUUGUGAAUGUAUGAUGAUAAGUUGCAUGCAUUCUUAUCCAUGUGUAUUCCUUAUUGAACAACUAUGAGGUAUUAGUAUGCAUUCCCUAUACAUUUACAUGUUUAUGACAUUCAAGUGAUUGACGAGAUAUCGUAUUGAUUGUGUUGUGAAUGAAAGUCCAUUGUCAUGAUACUGAAGUGUGGUCCUGUCUAAUUUAUUUAU